UUUUUAUUUUUGUUUUUUUAUUGUUGCAUUCUUUUUUGGUUUUGGUUUUAACUAUCAGUUAGUUACAAGGGACUAGAUCACUCCCUUCUGUUAACCCUUUGUUACUUGGCAAAGAGAUAAGGAGGCAACAGGAGAGGCAUUCUGCUCUGUUUUAUUUGCGCCUCAGCUUUGUCCGGGUGCUUGGUGCUAUGGAGCCUGGUGUGUCAGCACCAAAUGGAUACCAGUUUCACUUUAAGGCUGCAGACUGUUCUGUGAACUGUUUACUUCGUUUUCUCCCUUUGCUCUUAAAUACACAGUUGUAUUUCACUUCUGACAUUUAAGUACACCUCAGUGUUUGCAUCCUGCACCAUCAAGUCUAACACAGAAGCACAGAGCACUUCCAAGGCCACGUGUAUGGGCCCCUUCUCCCACAGUGAGUACAUGAAUGUAUAUCACCGGCUCAUCCAUGCUGCGUUAGGGUCCCAGCCUCGCUGUUAUUCUGAACAUCUGAGAGGUAGGGAGAGGAUUAUUCACAGUUCCUCCCAGGGAUUACUCAACUCUGCCCCAAGAACAGGCUUCCAAUGUUGGAAAAGCUGCAUGCAUUGAAGCUGUGCCUUGAAGACCAGGCAGAAACUUAAGUGAAUUGGACAGAGAAAAAGUAGAACAUGGGCCCCAGAGCUCAUUCUGCCAUAGUUUUCAAGUGAGAGCUCUGACCCAAAUAUAUCACAUGUUCUCUAAUAUCGGGGGAGUCAUUCAGAUUUUAAAAAAAGGUUCUCAUAGUUAUUCAGAAUCAACUUCAAGAGCAGCUAAAAUGCUGCUUGAUUAACUUAGUUGGGGUUCAUUCCUGUUUGGAAAUUUAACUGGGUUCUUCCUGAACUCUACACCAUUCCAACACAGCCAUAUUUUCUUAAUGGCCCAGACCUAGAUGCCCCUAGGUCUCUGUGGCUUAGAAUGGUGUCUCAGGGCUUGAAUACUGAGUUUAUCAGAAGUUCCAAGUAUGUUAUGGAUGGAGACAAUUUUCUUCGGAUUGAAUGGAGAAGUCAGGAUGGAUGUGAUGGAAGAGAUUGGUGAGUGUUUAAGGAUUUGGUCUGAGAUCAUGGCAGAUCUUAGAAGUCAUGCAAAAAAAAUACUUAUAUUUGCUGCAUAAGAUUUGAUAGUGAUUGUUUUCUCUAGUGCUGGGUCCAGACCCUGAAUUUUUUAGAACUGUUAAUCUAGAGUUUAGAGUUCAAAUCCAAUAUUUUAUAUGCAUGCAAAGAAAAGCACAUGACCUGAGGAGAGAUAAUGACAGACCUUAAGAAUCCUGGAUAUUUUUUUAUAGUCUCAUGUUCAUGUCUGGAAAUUCAUGCUUCUAUUUAGGAAGGCAAUGAAAUGAAGCAUUCUGAGAUGAAAUGAAGCUUUCUGAUGUGUCUGGAUAUUUGCAUUUUUUCCAGUUGUUAGGGUUAGGGUCAAGGGUCAGGGGUUAGGGUUGUGGUCAGUGGUCAGAGGUUAGGAGGCAUCUCCAAAGAGACAUAAUACACAUAAGCACAAAGUGUAAGGUGGAGACCCAGAAGAAAUCCAGGCUGAAAGGAAACUGCUGUUUCCUCUGAGAAGCAAAAGGACUGCAUGCUGACAUCAUUUUUAUGAUGUCCUUGAUUGUUUGUUAUGUUCUGGGAAACAGAACUGACUAAUGAAUGAGCCACGGUCACGAGAUCUCCCUUAACUGAGCAACUGGUCCUGGGCUAAGCUGUCAUUGGUUCUUCCAUCUUUAAUAAUGACACAAAUCUCAGGUGGCUGAUUCAUAAAUUACGAGGUCCUAGAGCUCAGCCUGAAUGCCUUGUGCUCUAGGGAUGCACCCUUAGCAUGAUUCUCCCUUUUGUGCACAUGUGCAGAGAAUAUGGUUAGAGUCAUGCAAGAAUGUGGUGCAGGCCGAUGGAGUUCAACGAUGUGUUGUACGUUUCAGGGUGGACAUAAUGUGUGGGGCUCAAUGAAAUCUGCCAAAAUGUACAUGGGCCCCUGGGAGGCAGGUUUUCUCUAGAGGAAACAGUAGACAUUGAGAGUAUCAAACAUCCAAGCUGACAGGAAUCUCAUUUGGUGCAGCAUAGAAGAGCAUAGAUGUCCUUGUCAAUUUCAUUACCUGUCUAGCGAAUCUUAACCCUCUACCACAGCUGCUUCCUUGUAGGUGAUUCCACAGUUUCAUUUCUCAGUAGUGUCACCUUAGGACACAGGGAGAGUGGACUGAUUGAAUAGCAAGUGGUGUCAGUAUAAACUUCUCCUCAAUUCCAGAAGGUUCUAAUCAGCUUGUGACUGCCCCAAGAGACCUCCUACGUCCACAGCCUUUGGAUUCCCCAGCUUCCUGCUGCACACACUGACACUAACGGCCAUGUCUCUUGAGCUAGCCUAACUCCGAAGCAACCCUACAAUGAUGCUAUUGAUUCUUCC
rnacentral:lncRNA from 1 species